rnacentral:rRNA from 1 species
CCUACGGGGAGCAGCAGUGAGGAAUAUUGGUCAAUGGCCGGAAGGCUGAACCAGCCAAGCCGCGUGAAGGACGAAGGUGCCAAGCAUUGUAAACUUCUUUUGUCAAGGGACAAAAUCAGGCUCGAGAGCCUGACCGAGGGUACUUGAAGAAAAAGCAUCGGCUAACUCCGUGCCAGCAGCCGCGGUAAUACGGAGGAUGCGAGCGUUAUCCGGAUUUAUUGGGUUUAAAGGGUGCGUAGGCGGACUGUUAAGUCAGCGGUAAAAGCGCGGGGCUCAACCCCGGCGAGCCGUUGAAACGGGCUGUCGUGAGAGGUCGAGAGGUAGGAGGAAUGCGCAGUGUGGAGGUGAAAGGCUUAGAUA